rnacentral:rRNA from 1 species
UACGAAGGGGGCUAGCGUUGCUCGGAAUCACUGGGCGUAAAGCGCACGUAGGCGGAUCUUUAAGUCAGGGGUGAAAUCCUGGGGCUCAACUCCAGAACUGCCUUUGAUACUGGGGAUCUCGAGUCCGGAAGAGGUGAGUGGAACUCCGAGUGUAGAGGUGAAAUUCGUAGAUAUUCGGAAGAACACCAGUGGCGAAGGCGGCUCACUGGUCCGGUACUGACGCUGAGGUGCGAAAGCGUGGGGAGCAAACAGG